GAUGAACGCUGGCGGCGUGCUUAACACAUGCAAGUCGAACGGGAAUUCUUUUAUUGUAACUUCGGUCGGUUUAAUUUAAUUCUAGUGGCGGCCGGGUGAGUAACGCCUGGGUAACCUGCCUUAUACAGGGGGAUAACAGUCAGAAAUGGCUGCUAAUACCGCAUCAGCGCACAGAGCUGCAUGGCUCAGUGUGAAAAACUCCGGUGGUAUAAGAUGGACCGGCGUUGGAUUAGCUUGUUGGCAGGGUAACGGCCUACCAAGGCGACGAUCCAUAGCCGGCCAGAGAGGGAGAGCGGCCACACUGGGACUGAGACACGGCCCAGACUCCUACGGGAGGGAGCAGUGGGGAAUAUUGCACAAUGGGGGAAACCCUGAUGGAGCGACGCCGGGUGAAGGAAGAAGUAUCUCGGUAAGUAAACUUCUAGCAGCAGGGAAGAUAGUGACGGUACCUGACGAAGAAGCCCCGGCUAACUACGUG
rnacentral:rRNA from 1 species